ACUAGUUGUGGGGUCCAUUCCACGGAUUUCCGUGACGCAGCUAACGCAUUAAGUUCCCCGCCUGGGGAGUACGGCCGCAAGGCUAAAACUCAAAGGAAUUGACGGGGACCCGCACAAGCGGCGGAGCAUGCGGAUUAAUUCGAUGCAACGCGAAGAACCUUACCAAGGCUUGACAUAUACGAGAACGGGCCAGAAAUGGUCAACUCUUUGGACACUCGUAAACAGGUGGUGCAUGGUUGUCGUCAGCUCGUGUCGUGAGAUGUUGGGUUAAGUCCCGCAACGAGCGCAACCCUCGUUCUAUGUUGCCAGCACGUAAUGGUGGGAACUCAUGGGAUACUGCCGGGGUCAACUCGGAGGAAGGUGGGGAUGACGUCAAAUCAUCAUGCCCCUUAUGUCUUGGGCUUCACGCAUGCUACAAUGGCCGGUACAAAGGGCUGCAAUACCGCGAGGUGGAGCGAAUCCCAAAAAGCCGGUCCCAGUUCGGAUUGAGGUCUGCAACUCGACCUCAUGAAGUCGGAGUCGCUAGUAAUCGCAGAUCAGCAACGCUGCGGUGAAUACGUUCCCGGGUCUUGUACACACCGCCCGUCAAGUCAUGAAAGUCGGUAACACCUGAAGCCGGGGCCUAACCCUUGGGAGGGAGC
rnacentral:rRNA from 2 species